rnacentral:tRNA from 1 species
GCCGAGAUUUUUAAGGCAAAAGAUUUUUAAUCUUUUUACGGUUUAACACC